rnacentral:rRNA from 1 species
GAUGAACGCUGGCGGCGUGCCUAAUACAUGCAAGUCGAGCGAACGGACGAGAAGCUUGCUUCUCUGAUGUUAGCGGCGGACGGGUGAGUAACACGUGGAUAACCUACCUAUAAGACUGGGAUAACUUCGGGAAACCGGAGCUAAUACCGGAUAAUAUUUUGAACCGCAUGGUUCAAAAGUGAAAGACGGUCUUGCUGUCACUUAUAGAUGGAUCCGCGCUGCAUUAGCUAGUUGGUAAGGUAACGGCUUACCAAGGCAACGAUGCAUAGCCGACCUGAGAGGGUGAUCGGCCACACUGGAACUGAGACACGGUCCAGACUCCUACGGGAGGCAGCAGUAGGGAAUCUUCCGCAAUGGGCGAAAGCCUGACGGAGCAACGCCGCGUGAGUGAUGAAGGUCUUCGGAUCGUAAAACUCUGUUAUUAGGGAAGAACAUAUGUGUAAGUAACUGUGCACAUCUUGACGGUACCUAAUCAGAAAGCCACGGCUAACUACGUGCCAGCAGCCGCGGUAAUACGUAGGUGGCAAGCGUUAUCCGGAAUUAUUGGGCGUAAAGCGCGCGUAGGCGGUUUUUUAAGUCUGAUGUGAAAGCCCACGGCUCAACCGUGGAGGGUCAUUGGAAACUGGAAAACUUGAGUGCAGAAGAGGAAAGUGGAAUUCCAUGUGUAGCGGUGAAAUGCGCAGAGAUAUGGAGGAACACCAGUGGCGAAGGCGACUUUCUGGUCUGUAACUGACGCUGAUGUGCGAAAGCGUGGGGAUCAAACAGGAUUAGAUACCCUGGUAGUCCACGCCGUAAACGAUGAGUGCUAAGUGUUAGGGGGUUUCCGCCCCUUAGUGCUGCAGCUAACGCAUUAAGCACUCCGCCUGGGGAGUACGACCGCAAGGUUGAAACUCAAAGGAAUUGACAGGGACCCGCACAAGCGGUGGAGCAUGUGGUUUAAUUCGAAGCAACGCGAAGAACCUUACCAAAUCUUGACAUCCUUUGACAACUCUAGAGAUAGAGCCUUCCCCUUCGGGGGACAAAGUGACAGGUGGUGCAUGGUUGUCGUCAGCUCGUGUCGUGAGAUGUUGGGUUAAGUCCCGCAACGAGCGCAACCCUUAAGCUUAGUUGCCAUCAUUAAGUUGGGCACUCUAAGUUGACUGCCGGUGACAAACCGGAGGAAGGUGGGGAUGACGUCAAAUCAUCAUGCCCCUUAUGAUUUGGGCUACACACGUGCUACAAUGGACAAUACAAAGGGCAGCGAAACCGCGAGGUCAAGCAAAUCCCAUAAAGUUGUUCUCAGUUCGGAUUGUAGUCUGCAACUCGACUACAUGAAGCUGGAAUCGCUAGUAAUCGCAGAUCAGCAUGCUACGGUGAAUACGUUCCCGGGUCU